rnacentral:tRNA from 1 species
UCCCUGCGGUUCAAACGGUAAAGAAUCUGCCUGUCAUGCAGGAGACCUGGGUUCGAUCCCUAGGUCAGGAA